rnacentral:rRNA from 1 species
UACGAAGGGUGCAAGCGUUACUCGGAAUUACUGGGCGUAAAGCGUGCGUAGGUGGUUUGUUAAGUCUGAUGUGAAAGCCCUGGGCUCACCUGGGAAUUGCAUUGGAUACUGGCAGGCUAGAGUGCGGUAGAGGGUAGUGGAAUUCCCGGUGUAGCAGUGAAAUGCGUAGAGAUCGGGAGGAACACCAGUGGCGAAGGCGACUACCUGGACCAGCACUGACACUGAGGCACGAAAGCGUGGGGAGCCAAACAGG